rnacentral:rRNA from 1 species
GAUUAGUGGCGAACGGGUGAGUAACACGUGAGUAACCUGCCCUUGACUCUGGGAUAAGCCUGGGAAACUGGGUCUAAUACCGGAUACGACCAUCUGACGCAUGUCAUGGUGGUGGAAAGCUUUUGUGGUUUUGGAUGGACUCGCGGCCUAUCAGCUUGUUGGUGGGGUAAUGGCCUACCAAGGCGACGACGGGUAGCCGGCCUGAGAGGGUGACCGGCCACACUGGGACUGAGACACGGCCCAGACUCCUACGGGAGGCAGCAGUGGGGAAUAUUGCACAAUGGGCGCAAGCCUGAUGCAGCGACGCCGCGUGAGGGAUGACGGCCUUCGGGUUGUAAACCUCUUUCAGUAGGGAAGAAGCGAAAGUGACGGUACCUGCAGAAGAAGCGCCGGCUAACUACGUGCCAGCAGCCGCGGUAAUACGUAGGGCGCAAGCGUUAUCCGGAAUUAUUGGGCGUAAAGAGCUCGUAGGCGGUUUGUCGCGUCUGCUGUGAAAGACCGGGGCUCAACUCCGGUUCUGCAGUGGGUACGGGCAGACUAGAGUGCAGUAGGGGAGACUGGAAUUCCUGGUGUAGCGGUGAAAUGCGCAGAUAUCAGGAGGAACACCGAUGGCGAAGGCAGGUCUCUGGGCUGUAACUGACGCUGAGGAGCGAAAGCAUGGGGAGCGAACAGGAUUAGAUACCCUGGUAGUCCAUGCCGUAAACGUUGGGCACUAGGUGUGGGGGACAUUCCACGUUUUCCGCGCCGUAGCUAACGCAUUAAGUGCCCCGCCUGGGGAGUACGGCCGCAAGGCUAAAACUCAAAGGAAUUGACGGGGGCCCGCACAAGCGGCGGAGCAUGCGGAUUAAUUCGAUGCAACGCGAAGAACCUUACCAAGGCUUGACAUGAACCGGAAAGACCUGGAAACAGGUGCCCCGCUUGCGGUCGGUUUACAGGUGGUGCAUGGUUGUCGUCAGCUCGUGUCGUGAGAUGUUGGGUUAAGUCCCGCAACGAGCGCAACCCUCGUUCUAUGUUGCCAGCGCGUUAUGGCGGGGACUCAUAGGAGACUGCCGGGGUCAACUCGGAGGAAGGUGGGGACGACGUCAAAUCAUCAUGCCCCUUAUGUCUUGGGCUUCACGCAUGCUACAAUGGCCGGUACAAAGGGUUGCGAUACUGUGAGGUGGAGCUAAUCCCAAAAAGCCGGUCUCAGUUCGGAUUGGGGUCUGCAACUCGACCCCAUGAAGUCGGAGUCGCUAGUAAUCGCAGAUCAGCAACGCUGCGGUGAAUACGUUCCCGGGCCUUGUACACACCGCCCGUCAAGUCACGAAAGUUGGUAACACC